GGAAGCCAACUAUGUUGAAAGACAGUUACAAAAUAAUAACAUGUUGACACAGUGACAGACGUGCUUCUUUAGUAAUAUUGUAAAUAACAAGACCCAACAGCAUCUCUAACAUGUCCUCGUGAUCCCUAUAAUUCAGUUCACAGACCCAGAUUAAAAACUGCAGUACCAAGUCCCUCUACCACAUGGUGCCCAAGCUGAAAAACCAGGGUCAGCGUGCGUUUUCCUGCCAUCAGUGGACUCAGGUCUAGGAGUCAUCUUCCACCUAUUUGAAGAGAGGCGGAGAAACAGAAGAUCCAAAGUGGGUGCUGC